GUGGGGAAUUUUGGACAAUGGGCGCAAGCCUGAUCCAGCAAUGCCGCGUGCAGGAAGAAGGCCUUCGGGUUGUAAACUGCUUUUGUACGGAACGAAACGGUCCUGGUUAAUACCUGGGGCUAAUGACGGUACCGUAAGAAUAAGCACCGGCUAACUACGUGCCAGCAGCCGCGGUAAUACGUAGGGUGCGAGCGUUAAUCGGAAUUACUGGGCGUAAAGCGUGCGCAGGCGGUGCUGUAAGACAGGCGUGAAAUCCCCGGGCUCAACCUGGGAAUUGCGCUUGUGACUGCAGUGCUGGAGUACGGCAGAGGGGGAUGGAAUUCCGCGUGUAGCAGUGAAAUGCGUAGAUAUGUGGAGGAACACCGAUGGCGAAGGCAGUCCCCUGGGCCUGUACUGACGCUCAUGCACGAAAGCGUGGGGAGCAAACAGGAUUAGAAACCCGAGUAGUCC
rnacentral:rRNA from 1 species